AAUACCACUACUUUUAACGU
rnacentral:snRNA from 1 species